UAUAUUUUAGUAUUAAAUGUACAUAAAUUUUUGAAAUUUAAAGAAAUAAUUUACUUUAUUAAAUAUAA
rnacentral:tRNA from 1 species